AUCUAAAUAGUUUAAUAAAAAUUUCAAUUUGUGGAGUUGAUGAUGUACUUUGUAUUUUAGAUA
rnacentral:tRNA from 1 species